GCGUGCACGGUGUCGGCGGGAGACGGUGGCAGCAUGCCGCUGGUCACCGCGAUCACCAAGGACGCGGCCACCUCCCUCUACACCGCGCCGCUCAAGGACACUCAGCCCCUCGUCCUCGACCUCUCCGGCCCCAUCGUCUGGACCACCUGCGACGGGCCCUCCCAUGACACGCUCGACUGCAGCAGCGACGCCUGCAUGCGCGCGCACCGGUUCCAGCCGCCCAACUGCCCGCAGACCGGCUACGGCGAGCCCGACGCCCGCAGCCGCAACCGCUGCAAGUGCACCACGCACCCGCACAACCCCGUCUCCGGCGACACCGCGUCGGGGGACGUGACGCGCGUCACGCUCUCCGCCAACGCCACCGACGGGAAGAAUCCUCUGUAUCAGGUGUCGUUCACCGCCGUGGCGUCCUGCGCGCCGGGCUCGCUCCUGGCGAAGCUGCCGGCGGGGGCGGCCGGCGUCGCGGGCCUCGCGGGCCUCGCGCGCUCGGGCCUCGCGCUCCCGGAGCAGGUCGCGGACACGCAGAGGGUCGGUAACAAGUUCGCGCUCUGCCUUCCCAGCGCCGGCUCCGGCGCCGGCGUGGCCAUCUUCGGCGGGGGCCCGCUCUUCCUCCUGCCGCCGGGCCGGCCAGACAUCAACGCGACCCUGGCCGGGUACACGCCGCUGCGCAAGCACGUCGAGUCCCCCGGGUACUACAUCUCGGCCGACAAGGGCAUCGCCGUGAACCAGGCCCGGCUGCAGCUCGACGACGGGUACGGCGCGCCGUUGGUUCUCGGGCUGUGCUCCACGAUCCCGUACACGGCGCUCCGGCCCGACGUAUACCGUGCGUUCAUCAAGGCGUUCAACACGGCCACGGCGGGGAGGGCGAGGAUCACGCCGGCGGUGGCGCCGUUCGAGCUGUGCUACAACUCGACGGAGCUGGGGUCGACGCGGCUGGGCUACGCCGUGCCGCAGAUCGACCUGAUGCUGGAGGGCGGCAAGAACUGGACGUUGUUCGGCGGCAACUCGAUGGUGCAGGUGAACGACAACACGGCGUGCCUCGCAUUCGUGGAGAUGAAGCAGGAGGAGGUGGACAAGCAUGGCGGGUCGCCGGCGGCGGUGAUCGGAGGGUUCCAGAUGGAGAACAACCUGCUAGUGUUCGACGAGGAGAAGCAGCGGCUCGGUUUCAGCUCGCUGCUGUGGGGCAGGCAGACGACGUGCAGCAACUUCAAUUUUACCAUGGCUGCCUAG
rnacentral:rRNA from 1 species